rnacentral:lncRNA from 1 species
GGACUUUCUGUUCCCACUUUUAUUCUUCUGAAUUCUUAAUUUUGUGAAAGUGUAGGCAGAGUGAUUGUAAAAGCUAGUAUCUCAUGCACAUGGAGAUGGGAGUGAUGCCAGGACAGGAUUCUCCCCCCACUGUCCUCUUGAUGCCAGGACUUGGAGAAGGACUGAGAGCCCACGACAAAGUCGCCUCAGCCCAGUGCUGGGGGUGUUGUGAGCGUUGGGCUGGCUCUGGUGGGAUGUGCAGGUGGCCCUGGGCCGGAAGCCCCAUCUGCAUUCCUUGUCCAGAAGAUGAGGCCUUUGCCACCCCUCACUCCCAAAGUGGAUGGAAGUGCCUCUGGUUCCAGGCUGUGGUUAGAGAUAAGACAUACCAGGCUGACCCAGGACUGAAGACACAAUCUGCAGGCCUGUGGCCUACCAGCCUCAGAGCCUUUGGAGGAAAGGAGAUGGGGAAGGGGGGCAUGGGAAUGAAGCCCACGCUUCUUCUCAGUGUGGGCAGGGCAGGAAGCCAGAGGUGGGGUCUUGUCAUAUGGAGAGUCCUGAAGACCACCUCACCCAGCUCUGCCUUUGUCACUGAGAAGAGUGAGGGCCAGAGAGGGGUGGUGUGUCUUGGCUGGGGACCCACGGCCAGGGGCUGGCAGAGUUCAGACCAGAGCCCAGGCCUUCUGUGCCAACCACUCCUCUUCCUGUUUCAACAGGGCUGGAAGGCCCAGCUCUUUCUGGGGAGGGAUGACAUUAAACUUGUCCCUGCAGGGAGGGUCUGA